GGGGAGGAGGACGGCGACUCAGUAGUGUGUGGUGGAGACUGGAGAGCAAUGAAAAAACACAAACUCUCAAACAUCAAGGGACGGGGCCCUCUCGCCAUCAAUGCCUUUGUUUGAGCAUCACCAACCUUCUCAAGCCGAGUCAACGGCGCCUCUCUCAUGUCUGCGAUUGUCAAUUUCUCCACCAACAACAUUUCUCUACUACAGUCUUUGCAUUUAUUAGUUUAGCUACUGUAUCUGCUCUGCUGUUACUCUACAAAUAUGAAAUUUCAGUGCUCUUCUGCACAGCUAGAGCAGAAUAGGCCACUGUCAAGAAGAUUUUGCAGAUCUCUCUCCGUGUCUUUGAAUUUCUAAAGGAGCAAAUGGCAGAUGAGGGAGCCGCUCAAGUCACUGCGCCAGUUCGUCGUGUUCUUCUCACUUCCGCCGGGGCUAGUCAUUCCGUUGCUCUCCUCUGUAAGCCGUAGUUUAUUUUAUUUUCAUCAACUUCAUUAUAGCACCGCAUUUUAAUUUUGAUUGAUUUGGGGACAUUUAUGCAUUUUGCUUUGCAUAAUACCAUGCUGCUUGGUUCUUGCUUUACAUGUUCUUCCAAAGAAUUUGUUGUUAAGAGUAAAUUUAACGCAUUUGUUUGGAUUAAAAAACUAUAAAACUGUAGUUUUGUGGUUUGUAGGAUACCAAAUCAAAACCAUUAAUUAGUUUACAUAUCUGUAUAUUUUUUUUGGCUUCAAUGGAUGGGUGGAGAACUGAUCAUCGGGCUAUUAGUAUGUGUUGUAGAUGCAAGUAACUUGAGGCCUAGGAGAAAAACAUAUUUUUAGGCUAUAAGACAUCCAAGUUAUGUAUAUUAUACAAUGUUAAUUAUUAUUAUUUUUUAUUUAUAGUAUCUUUUGCUGCCCUUUUAACCUUGUGGAUAAUUAUACUCUUGGUGGGUUGUAAAAUGAUACACACUGAAGGGGCUGAACUUAAGUUUGACCUAUUAGAUGUCUAUUCAAGCUUAUAUUUGUUAAAUGAGCAAAUCAAACUCAAAACUAUUUUAUGAACGUUCUUGAUUAUAUCUAAGCUCACCUUGAAAGGUUGCACCUAGCUUGUAAAAUUUUAGGAUUAUUUUACCGAAAGUACUAGUAAAUUGAUCGUAAAAUAAACUUGAAUUAAGUAAAUGGUAUGUAUUAUUGGGAUUGUUAUUGAUAUAUCAAAACUAUAUUACAAUUGAUUGCUUCUAUUUCAUUAGGUUUGUGAACAAGCUCUUGUGUUUUUUAAAAAGUUAAAAAGCCAAUCUUGAACAAUUUCUGUGCUAGGUGUUAAGUUCAACUUUGUCUCAAACUUGAAUUGUAUUUAAUUUAAAUUAAAUAAACCAAACUUUAGCAUUGUUAUACUUUCCUUGGUUUGGUUUGAAUGUAGCCCUACUUGUAGUUUGGCCUUGGGCCCAACUGUUGAGUUUGAGCUUGAUAAAAAGCCCAAACGAAGUGAGAAACCCUCUGAAUUGUAAUAUUUUGGUUUGGUUUGUAAACCGGAAUAACUUUGGAUAGGUUUGAACAAAUUGUCACAUUCAAUUUGAUUUGUUCUUCAAAUUCUCUAUAAGGAACCAAACCUAUUAUUUUCAUCUUCAUAAAUGAUUUAUUUGCUAGUAACUUUUUCCAUGAGAAUCAUAUAUUCUUCUUCUUUUCAAAAUUUUCUAUACUCAUGACUUUCUUCAGUUUUAUUAUCAUUAAAUUGUUUAAAGUUGCAUCAGUCAGUCAAAAUUCAGGUUCUUUAUGAUUUACAGCUGGAAACAUUGUUUGCUCUUGGGGACGAGGAGAAGAUGGGCAGUUAGGCCAUGGUGAUGCUGAGGAUCGACUUUCUCCGACACAAUUGAGUACAUUGGAUGGUCUUGAAAUUGUAUCUGAUACUUGUGGUGCUGAUCAUACGAUUGCAUAUUCUGAGUCACAUGCAAAUGUUUAUAGUUGGGGAUGGUUUGUUCUUAAUCUUUUAUAUAUUCUUUUCAGUUUUUAAUCUCAGUUAAUAAUUUAGGAACAAACUUUUCAUUGACUUCAGUGCAUAGUUUCUAAUGUAGUUUCGAAGUGGGCCUAGACAGUGUAAUUAUAUAUUUAAAAGCUAAUUGACUCAAUCCAAAGAAAUUGAUUGGUUAUAUGUCUAUUGGAUUAAAAUGUCAAUAAACUUUCAUAAUAUCAACAUAUGUUCACAACUUUAGUUUGUCUUAAACUCAAGCUGGUUGUAAUAUUUUCAUAAGAUGUGUGUGCUUUGCAAAAUAAUUUUCUUUUUGAAUUUAGGGUAUUUGGUGACUUGGUUCUUGGUGACCUUUCACAUGUCCAAGUUUACUUCAACACAUUUUCUUUUAGGAUGUGGAACAUUCAUUUGCAUGUGAUGAUAUAAUUUUAAAAAGGCAGCCUAAAUAGCAUACAUGUAGGUUAACGGAUCAAAAUUUAGAAGUAAUUUCAUAUAAUAUGAACUGAGUGUGUUGGAUGUGUGUAUUUCACUAAACCUUAAAUAUUAUAUUAAAAGUAAUUCUUAUUUCUUUUAUGAAAAAUGUCAUUUGAAACAAGGCAUUUAACUUCCAAGAGGAUACCAUCAAUCAUUUAGAUAAUAACAAUUGCCUUUACUGUGGUAUCUUAUCUUGAAAAUAAAAUUUUAUUUGGUGGGUGUGUUGUCUUCAUCAAUAUGUAUUGGGAAUGAACAUUGUUGAUGAAUUUAUUGGUGGAUGGGCUGUAUGGAUAUAUUGGGUCCCUGAGGAGAAUUGUUGACUUAAGUUGGUCUAGUUAGACAUAUUUGUAUCAUCCAAUAUUAUAUGGUGUUUCCUACAUUGCCCUUUUAAGGGCAGGAUUAUCUUAGCUGUAUAUUUUUGGCUGUUGAUACUUGUAUGUAAUCAUAUUUGCCCAUACAUGAUAGUUAUUAAUUUAUUCACCUCUAUUUUCAUUCAAAUAUAAAGUUUAGUUCAUAUCACAGGCUUUUUCUAAUUAUUGUUUACUUUUUUUUAAUCAAUAUUAGUCAAAUAAUUUUUUUAAUAGUAGACAACUUUUGGGAUUCUCUCAAGCUUAUUUAUUUUUGUCACCUGAAUUUGUUGUAAGAGGAAACCAGGGGCACAAACAUUGUAGUGAUUGGUUUAUCAUGCAGUUUUUAUACUGACAUAGGACAACUAAAAGUUUUUCUUCUUUUUUUAUAAGAACAAUAAAUCAAAUAUGGAUAUUUUAAUGAAAUUUCUUUUGAAAUGGAAAGACAUCAACACCUUGGUAAUUACUUGCCUUUAUAGAAUCCCGAAGAAACCAUUCACUCCUAAUCCUUAUGAGAUUGGAAAUCCUAAACAGAAAAAAUUAAAAUUUACUACUUUGACUAGGAUAAUCUAUAUAUUUAGGGUAUGUUUGGUAUCAUUGUAAGUUUUCUCUUCCCUUUUCUAUUUCUUCAACUCCAACUUCUGCUCAUCAUACUUUUUCAAUUAAGCUAAACACCAAAAAUUUCUUAGCAUGGAAAAUGCAAUUUAUUCCUUUAUUGAAUUAUCAAAAACUCCAUGGAUUUAUCGAUGGCACCUCUCCUCGUCCUCCUAAAACCAUUCCUGGCACCUCAACUGAUGCACCUGCUCCUAAUCCUGAGUAUGAAACUUGGUUCUCCAAAGAUCAAAUGUUAUUAUCAUGGUUACUCUCUUUACUAACUGAAGAAAUCUUUCCCUAUGUAAUUGGUCUUACUUCUUCAUAUAAUGUGUGGCAAGCAUUGGCUAAAGCCUUUGGCUCAGUUUCUCAAAAUAGGCAAUUGCAGAUUCACAUUGAACUUUGAACUGCAAGAGCUCAAGAAAAAUGACCUCUUUGUUGCUGAUUAUCUCCAUUGUGCAAAAACACUAGCUGAUGAAUUAGAAGCAGCUGGUCGUCCUUUUUCUGCAGCAGAAUUUAAUGCGAUUAUAUAUCGCAACAUUGGGGCUGAAUAUCACCCAAUUAUCACAGCUUUGAAUCUACGCAGUGAGCCAGUAUCCUUCUAUGAACUUUACGGACAACUGGUGGCACAUGAGAUUUUGAUCAAGAGCUCUCAAGAACCUCCUAUUGCUAACAUGGUCAUUCGUCCGUCUGGUAAUUCACCAUUGCUUCCUACUUCUAUGCCUUUCCUCUCAAAAUGGUGCACCUCGACCUCACAAUUUCAACAAUGGUGGCUUUCUCCUGCGAGGUUCUUGCAAAAUAUGUGGCCUCAAAAGUCAUAUAGCUAAUCGAUGUCGACAUCGAUAUGCACCAUCAUCCUAUGGUCCACGUUCUUCAAAUUAUCCAUAAGCCAAUGCUCACAAUUUUCAUGGACCAGCUCAUGUUUCUACAAUUUCUCCGAUGGCCACUAAUGAUACACCAACUCCAUGGUUUCCGGAUAUUGGUGUGAAUUUUCACAUCACCCCAAACCUCUCUAGUUUGAGUAUUGCCAAUGAAUAUAAGGGGACAGACCAACUUCAUGUAGGUAAUGGACAAGGUAUUCCGAUUACACACACUGGUGUUGCAUCACUCCAUUAUCCUUCUGCCUCUUUUAAAUUGAAUAAUGUUUUAUGUGUUCCUAAUAUUAUGAAAAACCUUCUUUCUGUUCAAAAAUUUACUUCUGAAAACAACUGUUUCUUUAAAUUUUGGCCCAAAUAUUUUCUUAUUAAGGACCAGGUUACCAAGAAGGUUCUUCUUCAGGGUCCAAGUGAGAAUGGUGUGUACUUUUUAAAUCCACCAAUAAAGCAAACCUCUGCAGUGGAACGGCUAAGCAUGGAUGAAUAGGAUUCUCGUCUUGGUCAUCCACAGUCUAGAACAGUGUCUCAUGUCGUCAAUAAAUUCUAAUUGUCUGUUUCAAGUUCAUCAAUGUCUCCAUGUUCUUCGUGUCUAUUAGGAAAAUUAGCCAAAUUAUCUUUAGCUUCUGUUCAACAUGAAAGCAUGGCUCCAUUUGAAAUAAUACAUACGGAUGUAUGGGGUCUUGCUCCUAUGAUAUCUUCUUUGGGUCAACGUUAUUUUCUUUUAUUUGUAGAUAAUUUUACCCGUUAUACAUGGGUAUAUUUCAUGCGUAAUAAAAAUGAAGUUUAUGACAUUUUUAUAAAUUUUCAGAGUCUGAUUGAACGUCAAUUCCAUUCCAAAAUAAAAUCCUUUCAUUCAGAUUGGGGUGGUGAAUUUCAGAAAUUAAAUAAUUAUUUCUAAUUUUGUGGGAUUAUACACCAAAUUUUUUGUCCUCAU
rnacentral:misc_RNA from 1 species